rnacentral:rRNA from 1 species
GUGGGGAAUAUUGGACAAUGGGGGAAACCCAGAUCUAGCCAUGCCGCGUGAGCGAUGAAGGCCUUAGGGUUGUAAAGCUCUUUCAGCUGGGAAGAUAAUGACUGUACCAGCAGAAGAAGCCCCGGCUAACUCCGUGCCAGCAGCCGCGGUAAUACGGAGGGGGCUAGCGGUGUUCGGAAUUACUGGGCGUAAAGCGCACGUAGGCGGACCGGAAAGUCAGAGGUGAAAUCCUAGGGCUCAACCUUGGAACUGCCUUUGUAACUCCUGGUCUUGAGGUCGAGAGAGGUGAGUGGAAUUCCGUGUGUAGAGGUGACUUUCGUAUAUAUUCGGAGGAACACCAGUAGCGAAGGCGGCUCACUGGCUCGAUACUGACGCUGAGGUGCGAAAGCGUAGGGAGCAAACAGGAUUAGAUACCCGUGUAGUCC